rnacentral:rRNA from 1 species
CCUACGGGAGGCAGCAGUAGGGAAUCUUGCGCAAUGGAGGAAACUCUGACCCAGCAACGCCGCGUGAAGGAUGAAGGUUUUCGGAUUGUAAACUUCUGUCGCGAGGGAUGAAGAAUGACGGUAGCUCGUAAGAACACCCCGGCAAACUACGUGCCAACAGCCGCGGUAAUACGUAGGGGGCGAGCGUUGUCCGGAAUGACUGGGCGUAAAGGGUGUGUAGGCGGCAUAUUAAGUUAUGUGUGAAAGCGCGCGGCUCAACCGCGGAAUUGUACAUAAAACUGGUAAGCUGGAGUGCAGGAGAGGUAAGUGGAAUUCCAGGUGUAGCGGUGGAAUGCGCAGAUAUAGGGAGGAACACCAGAGGCGAAGGCGACUUACUGGACUGUAACUGACGCUGAGGUUCGAAAGCGUGGGGAGCAAACAGGAUUAGAUACCCCAGUAGUC